rnacentral:precursor_RNA from 12 species
GACUGUAUUUUUGUGCUGCUAAAGGUCCCCUUGGCAUCCUGAAGACACAUUGUUUGUAUGAUUUUUUUAAACAAUGCGUCUCAGAAUGUAGUGGGCCUUUAGUGCUUGCAACAUCUUCUUCC